rnacentral:lncRNA from 10 species
GUCGGAAUGUUGCUUGCCUCCCUCUUAUCCCAGCCGGUUUUUAGCCAUCGCUAAGCCUAGGGCGAGGUUUCGGUCCGGUUUCAGCGUUUCUCCUCUACCUAGCCCCCUGAGGACCCCAGAUUUCUCGCGGUACAGAUCCAGAGAGGGUGGGGUAAGUAAGCAUGGGGAACGUCACCGGGGAAACGAACUUGCGCGCAGCGCGCAGGAGGCGGCGGACAAAGAUCUUGCGCGGCGCCCCUGCUCGACUCUCGGCGCUGGCGCGAUGGCGCCCGAAGGCCCCGGGACAGAGAGAUUGCGGGCUAAUCUGGGUAGAUCGAGGACCCCACAGAGAAGGGCCCACCGGCCAUCGCCUCCACACCCUCCCUCCGACCUCACUCCUAGCCCCGCGCGCGCAGUCGCACAGCAACUCGGGCAGCGGGUCGACUACGGCCCCUGGAAAAGUAACAGGUUACCGUUCCUAGUAGCGCCUUCGGCUGCUGCUGCCCAGGCGCCCUUUGGAGGGACAGGCGCUCGCAGCAUGGAAGCUCAAGGGAAAAUCGCUCUUGCCCCACUUCAACUAGAGCCUCAGCCUCCGUGCUUCCCCGGGGCGUGAAUCCGGAGGGCAGGGAUAAGAAGAGUGACGAGGGAGGCGGGGGGGGGGGGGUCCCUGCGCAGCGCACCCGUGGAGAGCAGGGACUAGGGCGGGCAGGAAGCACUCAUUUCGGGAGGUUGGGUGGCCGGCGCUGGGAUGGGGUUGGUUGAGAAGCCGCGGGAGGAGAGGACCUGGCUGAAAAGCCACGGUUGGGCGCUGGGAAGUCCAGGUGGUCGCUAGCUUACCCACCUCGGCUCUGCGACAGCGAGCCGGGCACUCCCGCCUUUCCUCUGCACAGCGCCCAGCGAUCCGCUCGGCUCGGCCCUGACAGGCGUAAUCUGCCCGGCGUCACCUCCAGCUGCUUCCUCGUUCUCGCUAGUUCCCUCUCGCACGCGAGCGCCAGGAGAAGAGAGAGAUUCGGAGAGGCGGCUGCACGGCUCCGGGGUGGUGCAGCACGCAGGGGUUAUUUAUGCGCACGUCUGGGGCCUCACUGGUUCAGCGGAGGCCCGUCCGUUUUCUUUGAAUGCCUUAUCGCCUUUCACCACAACACAAUGGAAACACACACAAAAAUAUUAUAAAUUACCGAGAGUUCCAUAAGGGAGAUCGAAGGGUCCGCCCUGGGCAGACAUGGCCUGAUCAGCAAGAGGGAUCUCGCUGUGGGGUUUGAAAUAAUCGCGUUGCCUUUGGUACUAAAGAAACUACUGUUUUGUCGCCUUGUCUCCACCUGACGAUGAAAUCCCCGGCACUUUUUAAGGACACAAAAAACAUCCUAAACGGCGGGGCGCGCGGUGACUGCAGCCCCGGGCACUGAGGCUUGGGGCUGGACAGGCUGGGGGUGUCUGCUCCACGUAGGAAACGUCCCCCCAAACCACUCAACCGGCAGCUGCUCUGCGCUGCUUGAAGUGGGCGGCAUACAACCAGGUGAAGCUCGGAAUUCCAUCCACCGGCCCUCCUAGAGCCUUCCCUAAACGAGACGCUCGCACCAAUCAGGGAGCCAGGUGCCAGUGCUAAAUCAUUCAAGACGCACGGGGCAGGAGACAGGAAGGAGGAGGCAACACAUCUCCCGGUGCCCCUCGUUCUUCAUUGUCCAGCAUAGACGCCCGCUCGCCUCAACCUUUUCCCAAAACCCGUGAUUCCCUGGAAAGGAAGAUUCGUUUACUUCACCUGUGGCACGAGAUUGAGACAUUUCCAACCACUUCCUCCUUUGACCCCAGAGUUCAAAACACCCCUAACGUUUUAGCCAAUGAAAUAAUCUCGUUGGAGAAGGAAUCUCCUGCAAGGCUAGGUAACGCAAGCUGAAGCUGAGUCCGUCCAGCUUCGAGGACAUCCCUCUCUUUCUCCUUUAUGGUGAGUAGGGGAGGAAUGAAGACUUUUGUCCGUCCUUGUUUAGAAUGUUUAAUUGAAUAUUAGCAGUAAUUGAUUAAACGAAUAUUUAUUAAUCCCCUACUAUGUGCCAAGCACUUAUUUUUUGGAGCUUGCAUUGUCCCUGCGGUUUAUAUUAUCCUGCACGCCGGGAGUGGACAUUCCGGUGAGGCAGGGAGAGGAGCGCACUUAGAAACUUCAUAAAUUUGAUUUAAUUUUCAAUGAUCUCCUCCAACUCGAACUCUUGGGCACAGCAGGAAUGGUAAUGAAUUGAAGGCCUGG